rnacentral:rRNA from 1 species
GACGAACGCUGGCGGCGUGCCUAAUACAUGCAAGUCGAACGCAGUGGGGACGGGUGAGUAACACGUGGGUAACCUCCCAUCAGAGGGGAUAACACUUGGAAACAGGUGCUAAACCGAUACUGAUGGAUGGACCCGCGGUGCAUGAGCUAGUUGGUGAGGUAACGGCUAACCAAGGCCACGAUGCAUAGCCGACCUGAGAGGGUGAGCGGCCACACUGGAACUGAGACACGGCCCAGACUCCUACGGGAGGCAGCAGUAGGGAAUCUUGGGAAAUGGGCGAAAGUCUGACGGAGCCACGCCGCGUGAGUGAAGAAGGUUUUCGGAUCGUAAACCUCUGUUGUUGGGGAAGCGUUAUCUAACCAAAAAGCCACGGCUAACUCCGUGCCAGCAGCCGCGGUAAUAC